rnacentral:piRNA from 1 species
UAAUUUUUGCAAUCUUUGGAC